rnacentral:misc_RNA from 1 species
CAGAGUUGCAAAACUCCCUAAACCCAUUGUGAACUUACCUGUUAUCUAUUGCUUCGGCAGGCGGCCCCUGGGAGGGGCCAGCUGCCCCGUCAGGGUGCCUGCCGAAAGCUGAAGUUUUUAAAACUCUUGUUUCAUUUAGUUGAUAUCUGAGUCUAUAAAAAAAAUAAGUCA